UUUCUCGAAAUAAUGAACAAAGUAAAAGGAGAGGUAUUUAUAGAUUGUUCUUGGAUAGCAGUGUUAUUAUUAAAUAUAAUUAAAUUAUCAAUUCCUUAUUUUUAUACUGGGUCAGUUUACUAUAUAUUUGAAAAAAAAAAAAAUGUUAUGUAUAACAGUUUUUUAGAUUGUUCUACCAUAGAUAGUCCUAAUUUUAUAACGAAUAAUGACAAAUAUAUGUCGGAAUGUAUUGUUAAGAAAGAAAACAAUGAAAAAUGUAGCAUAAGCACAAUUGAAGGCACAAAUAGAGUAACAAACAAUAACAGUUCAGAAAAUAUAAGUAAUCAUUGUUCCGAAUUAUUAUAUUGCAUUGAUUUAUUAUUAAAAACACCUAAUUUUACAAACAAUUAUAACAAUUUUAAAUCUAGUAAUAACAAUUUAUUGGCUCAAAUAAUAGAAGCAUUAUACAAUAUAACAUUACAUUCAGACUAUAUAAUUUCUUUUGCUAUUUUGAAAUUAAUUCAAUCUAUUUUUAUAAGUUAUCCACUAGUUAGACCAAUUAUAGAAAAUGAAGGUAUUAUUGUUCCAAGUAUACAUGACAAUUUAUCUACUUUUUAUCAAAAUAAUUUACUUUUUGCCAGUUUUUUUAAAAAUAUAUCCGACUUAGCUUUAGAUAUAUCUCUAAACGACUCAGAUGAAAAAUAUAAUGAUACUGUAAAAAACUAUAUACAACAAAACAAUUGUGAAAUUAAAAAUAAAAUUAUUCAUUUUAAUAUGAACUGUAUAGAAACAAGAGAAAUAAAGGAUGAAUAUUUUUUAAUAAACAAUAAUGACUUAACUACUUUUUAUAAAAAACAUAAUAUAUCAAACAUAAAUAUGAUUAAUGAUACAAAUUUGAAACUAAACGACAUUAUUGGCAACAAAAAUAAACCUACUUAUCUUAUUACAGAUACAGACAUAAAUACAGACAUAAAUACAGACAUAAAUACCAAUACAAUGAGUAUAUCAUUAAAUAAACUACCUCCUUAUAUGCUUACAGCAAUUGAUUUUAUUGAAUUAGUCUUUUCACCCUAUAAUAAAUUAACAAAUAUCUUACAAAAUAAACAAGAAGAUACAACAGACACAGAAAAAAAUCAUCAAAACAACAACUCGUUAUUUAUAAAUGGUAAAAAAACAAUACAUAAUAAAACAAACAGAAAGAAUAGUAAUCUUA
rnacentral:lncRNA from 1 species